AUUGAACGCUGGCGGUAUGCUUAACACAUGCAAGUCGAACGGUAACAGGCCUAGCUUGCUAGGUGCUAACGAGUGGCGGACGGGUGAGUAACGCGUGGGAAUCUGCCUUAUUGUGGGGGAUAACCUGGGGAAACUCAGGCUAAUACCGCAUGAGCCCUAAGGGGGAAAGGAUGGGACCGAAAGGCCAUUCGCGAUGAGAUGAGCCUGCGUUGGAUUAGCUAGUUGGUGGGGUAAAGGCCUACCAAGGCGAGGAUCCAUAGUUGGUCUGAGGGGACGAUCAGCCACACUGGGACUGAGACACGGCCCAGACUCCUACGGGAGGCAGGAGUGGGGAAUAUUGGACAAUGGGGGCAACCCUGAUCCAGCAAUACCGCGUGUGUGAAGAAGGCCUGCGGGUUGUAAAGCACUUUCAGUGGGGAGGAAGAGCUCGGUGCUAAUAGUAUCGAGUUGAGACGUUACCCACAGAAGAAGCACCGGCUAACUCUGUGCCAGCCGCCGCCGUGA
rnacentral:rRNA from 1 species